rnacentral:lncRNA from 1 species
GCACAUUCCUCGCAUUCUAGGAUUGAGAUACACAGUUUGGUUCUUGUGGGGGCAGCCAGGGCGGGGGAGGAGGGCAGAGAACAUCCCAGAGAUCAAGACUGCUCUUCUUGCUCCCUCCCCGACUGACUUGGCCCACACUGACUGGCCUGCCACCCGUUUACAGUGAUCUCCACCCAGUCUCUCUCUGCAAAGACCUCCCUUGGCUCUCUGAUAAAGUUGGAGCUGUGGGUGCAGCAUUUCACUUGGACCUAGCAGCAUCAAUGAGCCAGCUCCUCACUGGGGAACAUGCAAAACCCCAGCUGCUGGUGUGCAGGAAAAGAAUCCAGGAGAUCACCUGAUGAAGCCCAGCAUUUUACAGAUAGGCAGUGGAGCAGGGGAAUCCAGUUGACACUGUGGCUAAAUUUCAGAAAACCUCCCAUGAGAUCUUGCAAAGGAGAUGGAGAAAAUAUGGCUGAAUGCCAGCAAGGUAGGACGGAAGCAUGACUGCUCUAACAACCAAGCUCAAAGAGCACUGCUCACCCAAUGUUUCCUUCAUGACUAGAGCAAAGUGGUGAAAGGACCCUGGUGAGAGGCCCAAAGAACAGGAGGUGUGAGCCAAGAGAAGGUCCUGCCAGGCCUAUGUUGCAGGCUAUUUGGAGGCUGAACUUGAGGUUGAGGCAGAAUUAACUGUUGCAUGAGAUGUGGGGUAUGAGAGAAGGCCUGAGUACCUAGAAGGAUUGGGGAUGCCAUGAACUGACAGAGGUUGUGUAAUAGUGUGAUAUAAUAAGAAAUACAUGGUGGGCAUGGUGGCUCAAGCCUGUAAUCCCAGCACCUUGGCCACCACUGCAGGACC